GCGCCGGCUCCGCCCCGCCCCGCGCCCAGGGGUCCCGGGGCGGGCUCCGGGCUUCGGGCGGACGAUGCGGCGGCACGGCCGGAGCGGCGGCGGGAAGCGGAGGCGGAGGUGACGCGCUAGGGCCGGCUGGCCGGGCCAUGCAGCGCUCCCGGGCGGCCGCGGACGAAGCGGCCCUGCUCCUGGCCGGGCUGGCCCUGCGGGAGCUGGAGCCGGGCGGCGACUCUCCGGGCCGGGGUCGGCGGGGGCCGCGGCCUGGGCCCGGAGACGAGGCGGCGCAGGCGCUGGGCCGCAGAGGCAAGGGCGGCGGCGGACCCGAGGCCGGGGCGGACGGACUGAGCCGCGGGGAGAGAGGCCCGCGACGCGCGGCGGCCCCCGAGCUCGGCGCUCAGCCGGCGGGCAGCCCGCGGGCCAGCUUGGCGGGCUCCGACGGCGGCGGCGGCAGCAGCAGCGCCCGCUCCAGCGGCAUCAGCCUGGGCUACGACCAGCGGCACGGCAGCCCGCGCUCCGGCCGCUCGGACCCGCGCCCCUGCCCCGGGCCGCCGUCGGUGGGCAGCGCCCGCUCCAGCGUGUCCAGCCUCGGCUCCCGCGGCUCGGCCGGCGCCUACGCCGACCUGCUCCUUCCCGGCGCCUGCCCCGCGCCGGCGCGCUCCCCGGAGCCUGCCGGGCCGAGCCCCUUCCCCCUGCCGUCGCUCCAGCUGCCCCCGGGUCGGGAGGGCGGCCCGAGCGCGGCCGAGCGGCGGCUGGAGGCGCUCACUCGAGAGCUGGAGCGGGCGCUGGAGGCGCGCACGGCGCGGGACUACUUCGGCAUUUGCAUCAAGUGUGGGCUUGGCAUCUAUGGAGCAAGGCAGGCAUGCCAAGCGAUGGGGAGCCUGUAUCACACUGACUGCUUCACCUGUGACUCCUGCGGGAGACGACUCCGUGGGAAGGCGUUCUACAAUGUGGGCGAGAAAGUAUACUGCCAGGAGGACUUCCUGUACUCCGGGUUCCAGCAAACCGCUGACAAGUGUAGCGUGUGUGGACACCUCAUCAUGGAGAUGAUCCUGCAGGCCCUUGGCAAGUCCUACCACCCGGGCUGCUUCCGGUGCUCUGUGUGCAACGAGUGCCUGGACGGGGUGCCCUUCACUGUGGAUGUGGAGAACAACAUCUACUGUGUCAGAGACUAUCACACAGUUUUUGCACCAAAAUGUGCCUCCUGUUCCCGUCCUAUCCUCCCUGCACAGGGCUGUGAGACAACCAUCCGUGUGGUGUCCAUGGACAGAGACUACCACGUGGAAUGCUAUCACUGUGAGGUGAAGGUGGGACUCCACAGCAUCUCAUCCAGCUGGUGCCAUGAAUUCUGUGUGGAAGAUCAGUUCCAACAUGGAAGUUUGGGAUAGCAAUUAUACAAGUUGAAGAAGGAUGCCUUGAUGUAGCUGUUGUCCUGAGUGAGCCUAACCAAGGUUCAGCAAGUGUCCAGGUGCUGGAGGGAGUCACCAAGCAGUGGCGAGAGACACAAGCGUUGGAUCACAGAAGACAUCUGCAGAAGCAGGGCUCAGUCACCCUUGACACGGUUUCUGGUGCUAUAUCCCACCCAAAUGGCUCCAGCCAGUGGCCCGAGAUGAAGACUUGGAGGCAUCUGUCCCACCUAGCUGGACACUUUCCCAACACUUCCUUUAAACAGACCAUUCAGACCUUUGCCCUCCAACUUAAAGUUAC